GGGUCAGAGGGACACUUAUACCCAUACUCUUCGUGAGCUACUCUUGAUAGCAGAGUGCUUCACAAUUGGUCACGUUCAGUGACGAUAUACUCCUACAUCUCAUCUGCAUGCCAUAUCAGUAUCUCCAUAUCAUUUGAUUAUAAGGACAACCAACGCAUGUGGCACACAAUGACCUACACUUGAUAUCGCUAUUGUCCUAGUAAUAGCAUAUCGUUUAAUCACGAAUUAGUUUAAGAACUAUGCGAUAAAUUCUCC
rnacentral:lncRNA from 1 species